GAUCCGGACCCUGUGCAAUCUCAGCCUGCGAACCGCGUCAGGGCCGGAAGGCAGCAGCGCUAAGCAGACCCUGCGAUGUGCCGCAGGUGACUCCGGAUCGCG
rnacentral:SRP_RNA from 1 species